rnacentral:rRNA from 1 species
GACGAACGCUGGCGGCGUGCUUAACACAUGCAAGUCGAGCGGUAAGGCCCUUUCGGGGGUACACGAGCGGCGAACGGGUGAGUAACACGUGGGUGACCUGCCCUCAGCUCUGGGAUAAGCCCGGGAAACUGGGUCUAAUACUGGAUAUUACUCUGCGGUGCAUGCCGUGGGGUGGAAAGCCUUGUGCGGCUGGGGAUGGGCCCGCGGCCUAUCAGCUUGUUGGUGGGGUGAUGGCCACCAAGGCGACGAUCCGUAGCUGGUUUGAGAGAACGACCAGCCACACUGGGACUGAGACACGGCCCAGACUCCUACGGGAGGCAGCAGUGGGGAAUCUUGCGCAAUGGGCGAAAGCCUGACGCAGCAACGCCGCGUGAGGGAUGACGG